UACAGAGGGUGCGAGCGUUGUCCGGAAUCACUGGGCGUAAAGGGCGCGUAGGUGGCGCCGCAAGUCCAUGGUGAAAGCUCGAUGCUCAACAUCGAGUCGGCCACGGAGACUGCGGGGCUCGAGCACUGUAGGGGCAGAUGGAAUUCCAGGUGUAGCGGUGGAAUGCGUAGAGAUCCGGAAGAACACCGGUGGCGAAGGCGGUCUGCUGGGCAGUUGCUGACACUGAGGCGCGACAGCGUGGGGAGCAAACAGG
rnacentral:rRNA from 1 species